rnacentral:tRNA from 1 species
GUGCUGGUGAGACAGCUCAGUGGUUAAGAGCACUGACUGUUCUUCUAGAGGUCCUGAGUUCAAUUCCCAGCAACCACA